UACAGAGGUCCCAAGCGUUGUUCGGAUUCAUUGGGCGUAAAGGGUGCGUAGGCGGCGCGGUAAGUCGGGUGUGAAAUCUCGGGGCUUAACCCCGAAACUGCAUUCGAUACUGCCGUGCUUGAGGACUGGAGAGGAGACUGGAAUUUACGGUGUAGCGGUGAAAUGCGUAGAUAUCGUAAGGAAGACCAGUGGCGAAGGCGGGUCUCUGGACAGUUCCUGACGCUGAGGCACGAAGGCCAGGGGAGCAAACGGG
rnacentral:rRNA from 1 species